UCAUGGCUCAGGACGAACGCUGGCGGCGUGCUUAACACAUGCAAGUCGAACGAUGAACCGCUUUCGGGCGGGGAUUAGUGGCGAACGGGUGAGUAACACGUGGGCAAUCUGCCCUGCACUCUGGGACAAGCCCUGGAAACGGGGUCUAAUACCGGAUAUGACUGUCCAUCGCAUGGUGGAUGGUGUAAAGCUCCGGCGGUGCAGGAUGAGCCCGCGGCCUAUCAGCUUGUUGGUGAGGUAGUGGCUCACCAAGGCGACGACGGGUAGCCGGCCUGAGAGGGCGACCGGCCACACUGGGACUGAGACACGGCCCAGACUCCUACGGGAGGCAGCAGUGGGGAAUAUUGCACAAUGGGCGAAAGCCUGAUGCAGCGACGCCGCGUGAGGGAUGACGGCCUUCGGGUUGUAAACCUCUUUCAGCAGGGAAGAAGCGAAAG
rnacentral:rRNA from 1 species